rnacentral:rRNA from 1 species
AGUGGCGGACGGGUGAGUAACGCGUGAGAAUCUGCCUUGGGGUCGGGGACAACCACUGGAAACGGUGGCUAAUACCGGAUAAGCCGAUUGGUGAAAGAUUUAUUGCCCGAAGAGGAGCUCGCGUCUGAUUAGCUAGUUGGUGAGGUAAGAGCUCACCAAGGCAGCGAUCAGUAGCUGGUCUGAGAGGACGAUCAGCCACACUGGGACUGAGACACGGCCCAGACUCCUACGGGAGGCAGCAGUGGGGAAUUUUCCGCAAUGGGCGAAAGCCUGACGGAGCAAGACCGCGUGAGGGAGGAAGGCUCUUGGGUUGUAAACCUCUUUUCUCAGGGAAGAAGCUCUGACGGUACCUGAGGAAUCAGCCUCGGCUAACUCCGUGCCAGCAGCCGCGGUAAUACGGAGGAGGCAAGCGUUAUCCGGAAUUAUUGGGCGUAAAGCGUCCGCAGGUGGCAAUUCAAGUCUGCUGUCAAAGCACGGGGCUUAACUCCGUUAAGGUAGUGGAAACUGAAUAGCUAGAGUGCCGUAGGGGUAGAGGGAAUUCCCGGUGUAGCGGUGAAAUGCGUAGAGAUCGGGAAGAACAUCGGUGGCGAAAGCGCUCUACUGGACGGCAACUGACACUCAGGGACGAAAGCUAGGGGAGCGAAUGGGAUUAGAUACCCC